rnacentral:lncRNA from 1 species
AAAAGAGGCAAAGGCAGAGGAGAAAAAAGGAAGGAGGAAGUAACUUGUGGAAUGCUGAGAAAGAAGGAGAGGUAUAUCGUCCCUUUAGGCAAAUCGGUUAUAUUUAAUGGUUCAAGAACAAUGAAAGGCAGAUAAUCUUUACCUAGAGGAAUAAAGCCCUGAUAGGGAAGAGUGAGUAUGGCGUUUCUUACAGGACUACUGGAAUUAAGUUUGGAAGGAAAAUAAAGAGAGAAGAAGCCAUUUAGAUUUUACAGAAAUGUAGCUCCUCAUACAUUAUAUUGUUCCUAUGAAGAAUUAGAUUGAAUAAAGCUGCUUUGAAUAAAGCUCGUAUUACCAGCUACCACAUGUGAUGGAAAGAAUCCAAGUUAAACACUCUCACCAGAGCAUGCUCCAAGACAGAUGACUGAGCCCCAGGCUUGGCCAAUACAAUGCACUUCUAUUCUCUAUUUAUUUUUGUAGUUCAAAGACCUGGCAGUAACCCACUUGAUGCCUGCCAUAAGGACCAGUACACUCCUGAUUACUGCCCAGCGAUUUUAUAUCUGUAUGCCAGCUACUCAGACCACGUAUAAAGACUAGGGGGAUUUUUUGAAAGGAAAAGAAACCCCGGCUUCCACUUAUACUUUGAAAUUUCAGAUGAUGUACUGCCAACUUACAGACCUUGCUUUAAUCAGCAGCCACAUGAAAAGGCUGUUUCUAUUUACUCUAGGUCAUUUAGGAAACAAGCAAUAAGUAGGCCUUGCAAAAUUUCAGCUUCUCUUAAAGUUGGCAUGUUUUCCUCAAAUAGAGAGUUGAAUCUUGAUUUCAUUUUCUGAGUAGAAAUAUUUACAAUCCUGUCAUACAUGAAUUUUAGCCUUCCUUCUGUCUAACAACAAAUAGGCUUUUUAAAGAAUGCUUAGCGUUAAACUGGAGGCUGUUUUGUAAAGGUGGGUCUGUAUAGAUUUGAAUAAUGACUACGCUGCUUUACUGCUCUAGUUAAAAUUUCAUCAAAUACUGACUUUAGCUGGAAAAAGAUAAUUUAAGCCCAUCCUAUUUUAGUUUUAAAUUGUGUAUAUAUAAAAAGGUAAUCUUGCAGAACAUAAAGUAACAACUACAAUAUUCAGAAAUUCAUUAAUAUUAGAAAGAUAAAAAAUGAUUAGGGUACCAAUAUGUUCUUUGGUCCAUAAUGAAUUUCUUUUCUCUUGGUUGUUCAUACUAUUUUGAUUAUCAGUGUAAUGAAGAGAUUUUGUGUAGUCCUUAAUAUUGUGACAAAGUAUCAUAUUUGUAUUAUCAAUUUUUAAAAAAUAUUUUCUUCCUUUAUUAUGUAGAGUCAAUAUUACACCAUUUUCUGCUGUAAACUUGCAACUUGGUAUCUGACACUUCACACUUCACAAUUGUAAAAGCCUUACAACAAUACAAUUUCACUGAUACCCUCACCAUCUGCUAUGGACUAAAUUGCAUCCACCCAAAUAUUCAUAUACUGAAGCCUUACCCUAAAUGUGACUAUUUAGAGAUUGGGCCUACACAAAGGUAGUUAAGAUUAAAUAAGGUAAUAAAGAUAGGGCCCUGAUCCCAUAGAUUAGUGUCCUUAUAAGAGGAGAGAACAGAGGAAUGUGGGCUCUCUCACCCUUACUCUUGCUGUCUCUUUUUAUUCUCUCUCUCUGCCGUGUGAGGACACAGAGGGAAGACAUCUGUCUAAAAGCCAGGAAGAGAGCCCACAUUAGAACCAAAAUGGGCCAGCAUUUGGUGCCUUGACUUAAACUUCUCAGCCUCCAGAACUGGGAGAAAAUGAAUUUCUGUUAUACCAAUCUAUGGUGUUUUGUUAUGGCAGCUUGAGCUAACUGAAAUGCUAUUUUUCAUCUCUUGUGCUACUGUUGUAAUAUUUUAAGUUUUAUUAUAACUAUAUAACUACAUUU